rnacentral:snRNA from 1 species
UUGCUUUGGCAUCACAUAUACUGAAAUUGCCGUGAUACAGCGAAGAUUACCAUGAUUCCUGUGCAAGAAUGACACACAAAUUCACACAACUUUCCAUAUUUGG